GAGCUCUGAGCAAUGAGGAAGCUGCCCCAGAGCGACUUUCAUUUUGAGGUCAGAGGUCAACUCAGAGUUUGUUCCCUACCGGCUGUCAGAAGAGGCUGGUGACCCUGCACUGAAUCUAAAAGCCAAACGUCGGACUUCUGCAGGCCCCGCUGGCUCUCUGGAUUCUGGGAACACAAUUGUGCAAGCUUUCUCAGAUUGAGGGAUCAAUUCUUGUUCUUUUCAAGUCACUAGAGGCCUUAGUGGGGUAUAUUUUGUUACCAGGCUUGCUCAUUCAUUCAUUCAAAUUGUUACCUGUUGAGGAGUGAAUGAACAUAUAUUAUGAGUAACUGGGUCCCGGGAGUAGUGAUUUUGCUGCUAUAUUCAUAUACUGUCAUUAAACUACGGGAUACUUAAAA